GAAACUGGAACAAAGGACAGCGUGCAAGGGGUAUGAGUGAUUGCUGGACCCAGGCUAAAAGGAGAUUAGCCUGUAAGAGGGAGCAUUCUGGAAAUGGUGAGGAACUGAUCUCAGCAACAGAUCAGGUGUCU